rnacentral:rRNA from 1 species
UACGAAGGUCCCAAGCGUUAUCCGGAUUUAUUGGGUUUAAAGGGUGCGUAGGCGGGUUAUUAAGUCAGUGGUGAAAGCCUGCAGCUUAACUGCAGAAUUGCCAUUGAUACUGAUGAUCUUGAGUAUGAUUGAGGUGGGCGGAAUGUGUCAUGUAGCGGUGAAAUGCUUAGAUAUGACACAGAACACCGAUUGCGAAGGCAGCUCACUAAGCCAUAACUGACGCUGAUGCACGAAAGCGUGGGGAGCGAACAGG